GUUUUUUUAAAACCUUAAUGAUUCCUCGCAAACUAGGACGCGCAAGUAGACAAGGAUAAAUCACAGGAAUCAAAGAGAGCAGUUAGGCAAUCGACGAUGAAGAUUCGGACGAUUAUGAAUAAGAUACGCUUUUCUUCCAGUUUUAAAUGGUCAUGAGAUAUUUUCAGGAUUCCAAGUUUUACAGUCAUAUGUUCCAAAGAAAUUCUGGCGUUGUUUACGCCUUCGAGGCCAACCUGUCAAAUGUUCGUGAACAACAAGAUUUUUUUAAGUUUUUUCACACACUUGGCUGAUAGCAUUGACAAACAUCUUUUCAGAAAUCAGCGUGAAAAACUUUUUCAAAACACCCUUAUUGGUGGCGUUUUUUUGCGACCAAAUGAUUUUCUAAGAAUGUCCACAAAGCAUUGCUACGAAAGAGAGAAAAUUUUCCUUGCUCUCAAUCUCACAAUGAAAAGUCACAAUCUGUUAGUCUGAUACUGGAGCAGUUUGUUCGAGGAGAACUUUUAGAAGGAGAUAAUGCUUAUUGUUGUGAAGAGUGUGAUCACGUAUUAUACACCACACUCUCCUAGCACUUACCUAUAGGUAAGUGGUAGAAUCAGCUAAAUUGUGUAUAAUAUGAAUUUACUACACAUUAGUUAAAACCCCAGCUUAGAGGAAAUGGUUAAACACA